rnacentral:rRNA from 1 species
UACGAAGGGGGCUAGCGUUGCUCGGAAUCACUGGGCGUAAAGGGCGCGUAGGCGGCCAUUCAAGUCGGAGGUGAAAGCCCAGGGCUCAACCCUGGAAUUGCCUUCGAUACUGUUUGGCUAGAGACCGGAAGAGGUAAGUGGAACUGCGAGUGUAGAGGUGAAAUUCGUAGAUAUUCGCAAGAACACCAGUGGCGAAGGCGGCUCACUGGCCCGAUACUGACGCUGAGGCACGAAAGCGUGGGGAGCAAACAGGG